UCCGGUUGAUCCUGCCGGACCCGACUGCUAUCAGAGUGGGACUAAGCCAUGCGAGUUAACGCAGCAAUGCGUGGCAUACGGCUCAGUAACACGUAGUCAACAUGCCCAGGGGACGUGGAUAACCUCGGGAAACUGAGGAUAAACCGCGAUAGGCCAAGGUUUCUGGAAUGGAUCAUGGCUGAAACCUAUAUGGCCCCUGGAUUGGACUGCGGCCGAUCAGGCUGUUGGUGAGGUAAUGGCCCACCAAACCUGUAACCGGUACGGGCUCUGAGAGGAGGAGCCCGGAGAUGGGCACUGAGACAAGGGCCCAGGCCCUAUGGGGCGCAGCAGGCGCGAAACCUCUGCAAUAGGCGAAAGCUUGACAGGGUUACUCUGAGUGACGUCCGUUAAGGACGUCUUUUGGCACCUCUAAAAAUGGUGCAGAAUAAGGGGUGGGCAAGUCUGGUGUCAGCCGCCGCGGUAAUACCAGCACCCCGAGUGGUCGGGACGAUUAUUGGGCCUAAAGCAUCCGUAGCCGGUUCUGCAAGUCUUCCGUUAAAUCCACCUGCUCAACAGAUGGGCUGCGGAGGAUACUACAGGGCUAGGAGGCGGGAGAGGCAAGCGGUACUCAGUGGGUAGGGGUAAAAUCCUCUGAUCCACUGAAGACCACCAGUGGCGAAGGCGGCUUGCCAGAACGCGCUCGACGGUGAGGGAUGAAAGCUGGGGGAGCAAACCGGAUUAGAUACCCGGGUAGUCCCAGCUGUAAACGAUGCAGACUCGGUGAUGGGUUGGCUUUGAGCCAACCCAGUGCCGCAGGGAAGCCGUUAAGUCUGCCGCCUGGGGAGUACGGUCGCAAGACUGAAACUUAAAGGAAUUGGCGGGGAGCACCACAAGGGGUGAAGCCUGCGGUUCAAUUGGAGUCAACGCCGGAAAUCUUACCGGGGGCGACAGCAGAGUGAAGGUCAAGCUGAAGACUUUACCAGACAAGCUGAGAGGAGGUGCAUGGCC
rnacentral:rRNA from 1 species